UGUUUGUUUUUAUCGCAACUGUUACGGGAAGUGGUAGUGGGGAGGGAGCAGGGGGGAGGGAGGAAAUCCCCCGGGUGACGUUAGCCUAGCACGUCUUAUCAGCCGAGCUCAGAGUGGCAGGACAGUGUCCAAUCAGAAGGCCAGAACGACGCGAAGAGGCCAGGCGGAGAAAGUUAAGAUUAAAUGAUGACUAAAUGUUACAUCAGCGUAUGAUGACUGACAUGAUUGCAUCAUGCAGUGGCUACAGAUUUGUCAGCAGAUGCCCAGUUGAUAAGGGGCCCAUCGGGCGUCGAGGAAAAUAUCUUCACCCCAUUAGGGGGCAUGAUGGGAAACAGACAUCGACAGUAUGGAAGGCAGUGGCCGGCCACUAACCGAUAACCUGCAAUCAAUCAAUCAAUACUCAAUCAAUAAUAACAAUAUACUUCUAAGUACAACAUGAAGGAGAAGAAUACACGACUGUGCUGCUGUUACACUAGAGGUGUGGGAACGGCAGCCAUGAACAGUCCACAGCACGAACGCCCCUGUGAUCACAUCAGAACGGCCCCAAAGAAAACAAAAAAAUUAAUAAUAAUAAUAAAAAGAGCAAUAAAAGCAGUAAUAACACCUUUGGAAUAAAAUAACAAAUAAAUAUAAAGCUGCAGACUGAAAGGCUAAAUACUGACAUCCAUCUGAAUUGGCACAAAGAAGAGUUCAGAAGCUGUAAGGCAAAAAUCAGAACUAGAGGAGUUUUUACACAGAAGCCAGUUUUUCUUCUUUGGACAGGCAAAGAUUCGACUUCUGGACAGAAUAACUGAUCCUAGACCAGCACCGGCAUUUCACUGCUCUGAAACCACAAACUGCAUCAGGGGCUGAAGCGGGAUUAUCGUGACCACCCAAACUUUUUGACUGAUUUUUUUUUUUUUUUAUUGUUCACAAGUUUUUGGCUCUAAUCUGUCAAAACUGGAUGCAAAUAUUUCUUUAAACUGCUUUAAAAUCUUUAUUUAAAUAGUUAAAACUAAGCAGCAAGCACCCAGGCAGAAUUGUUUUUAAACUGCAGUUCCUCAACUGGCCACUUGAGGCAGCCUACAACAGUGAGUCUCCAUAGACUCCCGUGUUAAAAUGUCUGACUGUACAGCAGAAACAAACAUGUUUACACCCUGGUCCACAACAUGGGUUUGGUCUCUGUGGCUAAUUUAAACCUUAAAAACUGUAGUGGGGUGAACUUACUUAGUUAUACUUAAGUUGUCAGUAUUAGAGGCGUCCCUACUUUGAUUGGCAGAAGAAUCUCUACAGAGAUGUUACAGCCAACAAAUUCAAGUCCAAUGCGUGAACCAAAUUGACAAUUUUCAUAUAAUAAAAUUAUCUGAUACGUAUUAUCACUUGUUUUUUAAGUGAAAUUGUAGUAUUUUAAUUUGCUAUUCAGCAUUAAUUAUCCAGUAUCUAUGUAUUCCACACAAACCAAUGGCUAACUUCAUGGUGGCUACGUCCAUCUUUAUAUACUGUCGUCAGAACCAGUCAGGAACAGUUUAAUCCAGUCUGCAAUGAUCUCUGGCAACAGAAAAGAUUCAAUAAAACUCAAACAAAAAGAAGCAACUUAAGCGUUGACCACACGUUUUUCACCACAUCAAAACAGUUGAUGACGAUGGGAGCUAUAUAAGGCUGAGUUACUGGCCAUUUCCUUCCAUUAUCACUGCUUUACAUGCCAAAAACACGCUAAAAAACACACUGUAGCAACCAGAGCCACGUGCAGACUGAGCACCAGAUAGCGAGGCGGUGAGGUAGAAGCUAAAGAAGACUUCCACAUUCUGAGAGGAAUGUUUGUGUAAUGCAGAAUCACGAAACGCUUCCCAAAGAUUCCGCUCUGGUUAGCAUGUAGCUUAGCACAAACUGUGGAAGCAAAGGGGAACUGUUAGCUUAGCUUUUCCAACCUAUUCAUUAGCAUUUUACAUUAAGAGAAAGCAGCUGCGUGUCAUUACCUUGAUAACUAACACAAGUUUCAUGAUUUUGACUGAGUUUUGAUGAGUAGCUUGGCCUUUAAACUGUGACGGUCCAGCAGAAAAGGAAAGAAAGGAGCAGGAACAAGCACAUCUUUGGUAUUUUAGCUUUAUCAGCGACCACCAAUAACUGAUUAACAGUCUGUUAACGAGGCAAAGCAGUAGCAUGCAGCCUGUUGCAAUUACUCUUCAACUUCUUUUAACUUUCUUCACUUGAAUUUCUUCCUGUCUAAUUUUACAACUUCCACCAUCUUGAGCAGAAUUUUGAUCAACUCUGACAGAAAACUUUAGAAAGCUGUCCUGGAAAAGCGCCGCCUUUUAAACUCCGUUCAAAGAUAACCACCACAUCGACAUAUUACACUCCUCUCUACCAGCUAUUUUAUAACAGUUUAUCCACUGCCAAACCAAAAAAAAGUCACUAUCUAGAGUUCAAUAAGCAAAUAGGCAAGAGCUAUCCACUGGAUAAUUAGUGCAGUGAUUAAUAUGAGUAGCUUCUUAUUUUUUAAAAACUGUCAGAAGACGUAUCCUGGGUCAUGGAAAACAUGUUGCUUUCUUACUAGAAGGUCAAAUUAUCGCUUCAAGCAAAACAGAUUACUGAAAAUCAUAGAACUGGUUUAAGAAUUAUCCAGAAAGUGUUGAACCAUCAUCUUCAAAGAAGAUAUGUGGUCUGAUAAACGUCUUGAAUGAGUGUGAUCGGCUGUCAUUUCAACGUUUGGUGAACUUGUAAAAAAAUCAAUUUCCUCACGCAGGGAUUGGGACAAAACAUCUGUGUCUCCUUAAGAAAAGCAAUUAUUGGUGAAGCUAAUUGAAAAGAAGGGCUUUGAUUUGUUAUAAAGAUCAGACUCUGGACCACUGGACAAAGGUUAUGACGACUAUGAUCUGGGGUUUCUUCAGUUGGUCAGGUCAUGGUUCAGCAAUGUCAUGUGACCUAGAACGGGUCAGCUGACCACAUGAAUGAUUGGAUUUGCCAGGAUGCAUCAGGUUCAAAUCAGAUUGGCCACCACAGAGUCCAGACCAUAACCCCUUUGAGACUCUUUAAGACAGGGAUUCGAAUCUUCAAUCAUCAAAGACCUUGGUGUCAAUAAAUGACUACAACUCUGGAUGGAAAUAAAUUUGUUGUGCCAAUGCAAAAAGGCGGUCCAAAAAACCAUAAAAGUGUGUGACGUUUCUUUUUGGCCGGGCAGUAUUUUCUUUUCCUUUCUAUGCUAACAGGUUCCCCCUGCUUCCAGUGUUCGAUCUCACAGCUACAGACGUCACUGAAACGUCAGGUUGUUCCUUUAACCUUCACCCCGUCAGUCCUCGAACCGUCUGCGUGGCUCUGGCUGUGCAGAGGAACAGCAAGCGUUAACCUUUUAACCUUUACACAGUCACAUGACCUGACAGGGUCACGGGAGAAUAAAUUAUAUAUUUACAAAAUCUUUGCUUUGUUUUCUUCUUGCAUCAACUUGCAUCAAGCAAACAUCAACACAAUCCAGACUCAUAAACACAGAAAUAUCCAACAACAAGUCUUUUCAGUUCAUCGUAGUGUAACAAUAAUAAUAUUCAUAAUAUCUGCUUUUUUUUUCACUAUCAAAACACUUUGUCCAAAAUGUGUUUAUAGAGACAGAGAGAGAAAUACUGAACCACUGCAAGUCAAAAAAAGAAAAACAACAAAAGUCUUUAGUUUUUCUUUUGAUUUCUGUUCAGAUCGGCUCCAUCUAAUCGCUGGAUUCAUUUCAGGAAACGAAAGACCGAGUGGGUCAGACCUAGAGAGACGUGAAGGUCCGCAGUCCGGUCCAGUUCCUGUUAGAGACUCUGUCCUUAAAAACAUCCAAACUUUAUACAUCCAAAAAACAUCAUCGUAAGAGUCCUUUUAUUGGACGAUUAUUUCCAUUAAUACUUUUUAUAUCGUAUAAAUCUUCUGGUCAAUAAAAGUCAAAAAAUGUAAGUUUCUCAGAGUCCAAGUCUUCAAAUGUCUGAAUCAACAAUCUAAAACUCCAAAAUAUUCAUUUUACUGCCGUUAAAAAAAAACACAAAACUCAGACACUGGGAGCAGCUAGAUAUUCAAAAUAAAUCCUUUCAGCUCUGCAUAAACAUUUUCUUCUUCCAAAUUAUAUGUUUGACAUUUUGCAUUCACAAAAGAAAAGUAUUUUGGAGGUUGUAGUUUAACAGGACCACAUGACUUACAUACCUAAUAAUUACAAAAUCUGAAUCAUAUUUACACAAAAAUCUCCUUGAAAGGCUUUUUUUUCCUGAAUGCAAAGCGUUACAUUAAAAUGUUGACAUUUGUACCUCAAUCAGAUUAAAUAAUGAAACAUUAACAGAACUGUCUAUUAAAUUUAAGACAUUAUGUCAAAAUCAGAACAUAUGAAGUCAAAUGUGUAUUUUUAGUCAUUUUAACUGAGACUGUAUCUGAAUCAGAGAGUUUUUUGGUCAAAAUCACGGGCUACAAAGUCCUUUCAUACCAACCUUUGAAAAUCAAAAGCAGAAAAUCCUGAUUUCAAAGAAAAAUCUGAAAAUCAAUCAUCAACAUUUAACUCAUUAUUAAUAAUAAUAUUAUUAUCGUGCAGAAGACUCUGACCAGUUAAUAACACAUCUCAGUUGUUAAGCAUAAAUAAAUACAUUAAAAGAAACUUCCAGUUUGUCUGAUUUUUUUUUUUUUUUUUUAGUUGGAUUGAAGAAACUGUUUGAACUCUGAGAAACAAACAUCGACCUCUGCAGGAAAUAAAUACAUGAAAAAAUAUCUCAGACUGAGAAGUUAAAAUAAAACCUUCAAAUGCUGAGCGUACUUUCUGCAGGUCUGUGAGGAACAGGAUCAGUGAUUUAUUUUUUUAAACUGCAGUUCCUGACUUUACCAGCAGAGGGCAGAGAAGCAGAGGCUGCUGCUGAGGAAAUGCUGCUUUCCUCCAAUUGGUUGAAAAGCCAGAAUUUCUUCACUGGGGUAAAUUGGCGGUAAAAAUCCAAAAGUCUUUUAAGUGCAUUGAUGAAGGAAACAUCGGUCCACUUCUUCCUUUGUGUUUUUAAAAUCUGCUGUUCCCACCAUCGACCCUUUUUAGCACCGCUCAGCUUCUUUUUUUAACACAGGGAGGAAACCUGCUGCUUAUUCACAUCCGUGUUGACUCCUCACCUUACAUUUGGGAUUCAGACGUCUGAAUUUUGGAGCCUGUUGUUCUCAAUCAGGACCUGAAUCACACUUCCACAACCAAUCACCUUUCAUCUGACUAUAACUGGGGGUUUAAGGAUGCUCGGAUUACUCGCUCCUCACAUUUUCUCUGUUUUGUCAGAUAUUUGUGUUUAUACAAGAUAAUAACUGUGUUUUGAAUCUUCAUAUGGAUUUUUUUUACUUGCAGUUUGUGGGUUCUUCCUCUGCUUUAUGCAGGAGCACAUUCUGCAUGUUCUGUGGAUGCUCAGGAGCUCAUAGAGGAUUAAUCCAGCCGGGAGAUGACAUCAGGAGAAGACUAAAGUGGUUCUGAAACGUUGUUUUUGCUGUUUGACUCAGACACAUCACACUUAUUAUUUAAAAGUCGUUUCAAUUGCAGGAACGUUUCCUGUGACGCCUGCUGAGGAGCUCAGUUCUUCUACCUGCUUUUCCACCAGAGGAACCAAAUCUAAACGAGGAUUUUAUCCCACGCAGAGUGAACUUUCUCAACAUGAGUCCCUGGAAGUAACACCUCUGAUUACUUGUAGAGGAAAUGUGACUUUUUUUGCUCCAAACCUGUUGCAGACCAACGAGAGACUCUCACCAGACAUCCGGUUACAUGAACUUAAAGAGUGGGCGGCAGAGGACUUGCAGUGGGGUCGGUUCGAUGUGCUUUAUUGUUGAUCGAGUCCAGGAAACGUCCAAUCAGAGAGCUUCGGGGUUUGCAGCAGCUGCAAGUAGUAACUCUUGUCCUUAUCAAUUCAUGUGCGGAUCGUUUUUAUACUGAAUAUUUAUUUAUUCUGUGAAGUAUCAAAAAGUGGCCACAAACAAGAUGUGGCGUCUUCUGGUUUAUCUGCCCGACAGCAGGGAGAAACAUGUUGAAUUGUUACUAUAAUGACUUAAAAACCAGCGAAUGAGCGGCGCACGUGCUCCUUACAGCUCUCAUCGUUUCACUUUCGGGUCUUUGUGGACGAAAUAUUUCAAACAGGACGUGACGGUGAUGUCAUAACUCCAGAUGAAGCUGAGGCUCGUGGGAGUGCUGAAAUCAAGAACAUGGUGACGCAGGACGCUCGAAUGAGUGUGAUGUUGUUGUUCAAAGGAGAGACAACUGUCAGGAGAGGCUCCACCCACUACACCGCUUCAACACUGGUUAGAAAAAGGUGAAGUGAGACAGAGAGAAAGAGUGAGAGAGAGAGAGAGAGAGAGAGAGACGCCAACUCGUGUGGACAGCCGGGAGGAAUCAUGCAGACGAACCACGCAACUUUAAAUACACAGAGAGAGCAGAGUGUGUGUGUGUGUGUGUGUGUGCGUGCGUGCGUGCGUGUGUGUGUGUGCGUGUGCGUGUGCGUGUUUGUGUGUGUAUGUGUGUGUGUGUGUGUGUGUGUGUGUGUGUCAGAUAUUUUAGCUACAACAGUUUGUUUUGUUUUCUGGUUUCCAACUGAUCCUCAUUUAAAGGCCCCCAUCUUCAUC